rnacentral:lncRNA from 1 species
UCUCAUCUUCCGGUCCAGGUGGAGGUGAAGCCGUACGUGCUGGAUGAUCAGAUGUGUGACGAGUGUCAGGGCACACGCUGCGGUGGGAAGUUCGCCCCGUUUUUCUGUGCCAACGUCACCUGUCUGCAGUACUACUGUGAAUACUGCUGGGCCAGCAUCCACUCCCGAGCCGGCCGUGAGUUCCACAAACCACUGGUGAAGGAGGGAGGCGACCGCCCUCGGCAGGUCCCAUUCCGCUGGAGCUGAGCCCCAGGCCGACACAGCCACAAGUACUGCAGUAGAUCACAAGGAGGAGGAGAGGGCACUGCCUCAGGGCUCAUGGUGUUCUGGAAAUCUGUGCAUUCGUUCUCGAUUUUUAAAGAAGAAAUGGGUCUUUUUAUUAUUAUUAUUACUAUUAUUAUUAUCAUUUACAGUCAUCUUCCUGAACUCAGCGUGCAGUAUAACGCAGAACCGCAGAGUGUGUGUGGUACCCAUUGCACUUUGACUCACACCUUGUCUGCCUGAUACCUUGAUUUCUCACACCCGAUCUGUCACCUCCACAGUACGCAGACUGCCAUUCUCAUCCGCAGCCGUCAGGUUGACGUCUGCGACCCUGUGUUCGAUGUUGUGUUGUCAUUGCUCUGAUUGGUCUUGAACUGGAGCACAUGCUUAUUUCAAAGACUUAGAGAGUCCCCCCUAGGACAAGUCUUACCCCAGGCCACACAUGUACGGAGAGGCCGCUGUAGCAAACGCCUCACGAUCAGCAGUCAGUAGUGGGGUUAGUAGAGUGAGGCCAGCCCUUAGUGGAAAUAAGCCCGCCAUUGCUCUGGCUUUGACGUGUAUGGAUACCUCACAGGUUGGGUUUCCGUUUCCUUCAUGUUCGAUUUUGUUUUGCUGAGGAUUUGGGUUAUCUUUUAGUGUUAUGUACAUUUAUGCUGCAAUAGCUUUUGCUGCUAUUAAAAUGGUAUUGUUGAUACCAUAAUACUCUAU